rnacentral:rRNA from 1 species
UGGGGAAUAUUGGACAAUGGGCGAAAGCCUGAUCCAGCCAUGCCGCGUGUGUGAAGACGGUCUUCGGAUUGUAAAGCACUUUAAGUUGGGAGGAAGGGCAGUAAGCGAAUACCUUGCUGUUUUGACGUUACCGACAGAAUAAGCACCGGCUAACUCUGUGCCAGCAGCCGCGGUAAUACAGAGGGUGCAAGCGUUAAUCGGAAUUACUGGGCGUAAAGCGCGCGUAGGUGGUUCGUUAAGUUGAAUGUGAAAGCCCCGGGCUCAACCUGGGAACUGCAUCCAAAACUGGCGAGCUAGAGUAGGGCAGAGGGUUGUGGAAUUUCCUGUGUAGCGGUGAAAUGCGUAGAUAUAGGAAGGAACACCAGUGGCGAAGGCGACCACCUGGGCUCAUACUGACACUGAGGUGCGAAAGCGUGGGGAGCAAACAGG